GGGGGGUCCUUCUCUCAGGGCGCACUGCGUCGGGGUCAGCUCCUGCUCCGGGGUCCCCUCCGAGGCCACCGCCAGCGACGGGGAGGGCGUCCGCGUCUCGUGCAGGCAGGCCAUGGCCUCGGGGUGCGCGGCCCCGCGGGCCGCUGCGCGCUCCCGACGCCGCCGGUGCCGCUCUCCGUUAUCCGCGGCGCCGUUCCCGUUAUUCCCGGCGAUGCUCCGCGGCCGUUCCCGUUAUUCCCGGUGCCGUUUCCGCUGCCGCCCCGGAGCGCUGCGGUCGGGGCCGGGCCGGGCCGGGGCGGUGCGGGCGGGGUCGGUACCGGACCCGGUGCCGCGGUCGGGGGAGAAGCGGCUCCGAACGGCCCCGCCCGGCGCUCGGCCCCGCCCCAGCCCCGCCCCGGGACCCGGGAGCACCGG
rnacentral:lncRNA from 1 species